AUUGAACGCUGGCGGUAGGCCUAAUACAUGCAAGUCGAACGCGUGGCGGACGGGUGAGUAAUGUCUGGGAAACUGCCCGAUGGUGGGGGAUAACCACCGGAAACGGUAGCUAAUACCGCAUACCAACGGCUGGGCCCAGAUGGGAUUAGCUAGGAGGUGGGGUAACGGGUCACCUAGGCGACCAUCCCUAGCUGGUCUGUGAGGAUGACCAGCCAAACUGGAACUGAGACACGGUCCAGACUCCUACGGCAGGCAGCAUUAGGGGAUAUAGCACGAUGGGCGCAAGCCUGAUGCAGCCAUGCCGCGUGUAUGAAGAAGGCCUUCGGGUUGUAAAGUACUUUCAGCGAGGAAGCGUUACUCGCAGAAGAAGCACCGGCUAACUCCGUGCCAGCAGCCGCGGUAAUUC
rnacentral:rRNA from 1 species